rnacentral:tRNA from 1 species
GCUCCCGUAGUGUAGUCCGGUCAAUCACGUAGCCCUCUCAAGGCUAUAACCCGAGUUCAAAUCUCGGCGGGAGCG